UACGUAGGGGGCAAGCGUUGUCCGGAUUUAUUGGGCGUAAAGAGCGUGUAGGCGGCUUCACAGGUCUGCUGUGAAAACUCGAGGCUCAACCUCGAGAUGUCGGUGGAAACCGUGUGGCUAGAGUCCGGAAGAGGAGAGUGGAAUUCCCGGUGUAGCGGUGAAAUGCGCAGAUAUCGGGAAGAACACCCGUGGCGAAGGCGGCUCUCUGGGACGGUACUGACGCUGAGACGCGAAAGCGUGGGGAGCGAACAGG
rnacentral:rRNA from 1 species